UCUAAAAUGGCGUAAAUUGAAAUGGAAUUAGAGGCACUAAAGUUCGUUAAACCGCAUUUAAAAAGUUUAUCAUUUGUUAUAUUUGUAAAAAUUGGCAAACAUAUAUUCGAUUGUGUUGUUAGAACUUCUGACGGUCUACUGAUAGCCGUAAUGUAUUCUGUAGAUGUUUCAAGAUCUCGACGUGGAAAAUUUCGAUUCACCACACGGGGUUGGGAGAACUCGAAUAUUCCCAAACAAAUUAGAAAGUAUAGAUGGAUGUGGUGUCAACACAUCCCCAAACCAUGAUUAUUCACACGAUCUUCACUCCUGCCUAUAAUCUUGGCAAGACCUAAUGGCGUUACAAAAGGUUAAAAAUUUUCCUUUAACUAUGAUCUCCUUGGAUGACGGCCUCGAUGUUGACUUUUUCUGGGUUAUUACAGCAUCGAUGACAACGUUCUCUGAAUCAGAUCUGCAUCUAAUGGUGAGUCGCAUGCAUCUUUGUUUUCCUGUUCAAACUCGAACGCGUAUCCGAUACGUGGUUAUAGUCGAACUGCAUGCAGUAAGAUCGACGG